CCUUAAACAUGCCAAAGUCGAGCGGAUGAGUGGAGCUUGCUCCAUGAUUCAGCGGCGGACGGGUGAGUAAUGCCUAGGAAUCUGCCUGGUAGUGGGGGACAACGUUUCGAAAGGAACGCUAAUACCGCAUACGUCCUACGGGAGAAAGUGGGGGAUCUUCGGGCCUCACGCUAUCAGAUGAGCCUAGGUCGGAUUAGCUAGUUGGCGAGGUAAAGGCUCACCAAGGCGACGAUCCGUAACUGGUCUGAGAGGAUGAUCAGUCACACUGGAACUGAGACACGGUCCAGACUCCUACGGGAGGCAGCAGUGGGGAAUAUUGGACAAUGGGCGAAAGCCUGAUCCAGCCAUGCCGCGUGUGUGAAGAAGGUCUUCGGAUUGUAAAGCACUUUAAGUUGGGAGGAAGGGCAGUAAGUUAAUACCUUGCUGUUUUGACGUUACCGACAGAAUAAGCACCGGCUAACUUCGUGCCAGCAGCCGCGGUAAUACGAAGGGUGCAAGCGUUAAUCGGAAUUACUGGGCGUAAAGCGCGCGUAGGUGGUUCGUUAAGUUGGAUGUGAAAGCCCCGGGCUCAACCUGGGAACUGCAUCCAAAACUGGCGAGCUAGAGUAUGGCAGAGGGUGGUGGAAUUUCCUGUGUAGCGGUGAAAUGCGUAGAUAUAGGAAGGAACACCAGUGGCGAAGGCGACCACCUGGGCUAAUACUGACACUGAGGUGCGAAAGCGUGGGGGAGCAAAACAGGAUUAGAUACCCUGGUAGUCCACGCCGUAAAACGAUGUCGACUAGCCGUUGGGAUCCUUGAGAUCUUAGUGGCGCAAGCUAACGCAUUAAGUCGACCGCCUGGGGGAGUACGGCCGCAAGGUUAAAACUCAAAUGAAUUGACCGGGGGCCCGCACAAGCGGUGGAGCAUGUGGUUUAAUUCGAAGCAACCGCCGAAGAACCUUUACCAAGGCCUUGACAUGCUGGA
rnacentral:rRNA from 1 species